GGCCAGUUAGCUCAGUAGGUUAGAGCUUGGUGCUGAUAACACCAAGGUCGCAGGUUCGAUCUGCGUUUGGUCC
rnacentral:tRNA from 1 species